ensembl:lncRNA
UAACAGUUACUCACUCUUACAGGUCAGGAGUGAGUAGAAAGUGUUCAAUUAAGCUUCCAGAGGUGUGGAUCUAGUGAUAUACUUAUCUGUUCACACAUAUGGUCCUUCUGAACCUCUUCGGCAGCACAGAGCUCUUCACUCGACUGUUAAUACACUGAAGGUCACCAUUUCCUAACUUGCCCUGUUGGCUUCUUCAUGGGAUUUACAAGCUUGCUCCUUCUCCUGGUGAUCUGAUUUCCAUGUGUAUGAGAUGAGGUGAGAGUUUGGCCACUUCAAAGCCUCGGAAAUGGACCCCCAGCACCGGGAUGCUGAAAGAAGGCAGAGGAAUCAGCAUGAGAAUGUUAUCCUGACACCUUGGCAAGCAUGGGAGCCCUCGAAAAAAUGUUUAUUCAGAGCUGAGGGAUGGCCUAGCUGGGGAGCAUUUUAUUUUUCACUCCUAGGAGUGUGAAAGGAGGACACACAAAGAAAUUUAUGACUUUCAAUUCCCCUUCUGAGACCCAAAAGAUGCUACAAAGUUGUGGAAAAACAAAAGGGCUUUGCUGCUCAUGGUGAGCUUAAACCUGCAGCUUCUUCUGACUGUAUUCAGGCCAUGGGACUGCAGCCCAUUCCUGUGCACCAAGCAAUGCUUUCACUUUGGAAAGAUGAUAAAUUGCUGUGCCCUGGUGGAGAUUAAAAGCAGGUAAACAAACAGCAUGGCCUUGACCUAUUGCUCAUACAUUUCACACAGGCUGCGUUUUUAGCCAUAUAAUCACUUACAAUUGGAUGGAGGAUUCUCUGUGUGUUUACCAAAGAAGUCUACCGAGAGGCAUCUGUUUCGUUUAGUCUAGAAUGAAAAAAAAUUAAAAGUCAAAAUUGAGUACUCACCCUGGGGCAAUGCUAAAAUUAAGCUACAUACUGAAGUUCAGGCUGCUAUUCCAUUAAAUACAUUUUUUAAUGCCUUCUUGUUAAACCUGCUAACCUCUCCUGCACCAGGCAUGCCCAGAUCUCACAAGCCUCCUUGACAAUACUAUGAAACAACUGAUGCUAACCAAGAAUAAAAUGCAGCAAAGUUCAAUCCCGAGACUAAAAUGAGCUUGUAUUUUGCGCUGUCAUAAUAAGUAAACUCUAAUUAAAUGUACUAAGCAAAGCUCUGGCUCGCAGAAGCUCUGCACAGACUGCAAAAGCUCGGAAGGGCAGGAGAUGCUUUAUUUGACAGCUUCUGCUAAAGAAAAUAAAAAUAAAUACUUACAUGGAACAUUCACAUAACCCCUUGCUCAUUUCAGAGUCUGUGGUUUGCAGAUCACUGCAGAAGAACUACAAUUGCAGGACUUGGCUAAGUGAAUUCCCACAUAUCUGUCUCAAAGUCUUGUUGUUCUUUGAAGAUGAAGGAGGUUUCAAGGAUUAAGAUCACACUUAAAAUCUUUAUGAGGCAGUGUGAUAAGGUACUUUGUGUCUGUGCGGAGAUGGAAAACCAAAGAUUUAUAAUUUCUUCUAUUUUUUCUUAUGGUACUAACAAAAGAAAGCUAGCAGAGCAAAGCUUUGGGCUGCAGAGCAGAGACAUCCACUAUGUGAGAGAUGGCACUUCUCAGGCUGUGGGCACCUCAGCUGUGCUCCACACUGCACCAUUUGGCCCUCUUGUAGAGAUGUGGCCAGGCUGUGUGCCCUGCGCUCCUUGCUCCCAGGAGCAAACAGCCACCAGCCUAUGGUGAAGAGCUGGGCAGGCAUGGGCAGAGGUGGCCACAGCCUGACGCUACCAGGAGGCUGCACAGCUUUGCAGGACGUGGAGCAUGCACUGUGCCAUCUGGCUCACAGCUGGGGUUGGGUAAAAAUCUCUGUCUUCACUCUCUGGUAUCUUCCUGACUGCUGGCAAUAUUCUCUAUUUCAUCAAGGUCCUCUAGCAGCAAACAUGGAGGUAUUACAGAGCUUGGGACAGGAUUACACUGAGGGCGAAGCUCUGGGUUACAGCCUCCCAGGAGUUGUGUCCAAUGCUACAGCACUGUGGCCUUUGACAGGAGGGCAAUGAAGUGACAGGGACUCUCAAACUCCGCUUUCUCUGUUGGUGAUCACUUGACAAGAAAAUACCCUGAGAAACCUGAUUAAUUGAACGAGUUUGAGCAGACUGUGGGACUAAGUGAACUCCAGAGGUCCUUACCAGUGUGAAUUAUUCCAUGCUCCAAUGAUUUCAUCUCCUUUUUAUUCUUCACAUUUCCUUAGUUUAAUAAAAAGUCACCUCAGGUUGAAUGUGACUAUGUGCUCUUUGUAUAGAGGCAACCAGGCAAGCAUCCCCAGGAGCUAGAAGCCAACACCCCGGGUCCAAACCCCCAGAGGAGCAGGUUUACUGAGUUAAAAGCAUCUCUUCCACUGGGGACACUCAGUUCGUACUUGUAUAUGUCCUGUUGCAUUUCUCUGGCACUGAUCAAUUGUUUCUUUCCAUAGCUGCCUCCUUGAAGCUCCUUACUGAACAGGUUUCUGAUUGCUAACAUUUAAUUGUCCAAUGCAGGCAUUGUUUUACGUUUCCAUGAAAGCUUAGGGAUGUAUGGUGACUUCCAAAGGGAUCCAAAGCUACCCGCCCAGAGCUGUCAGUGUCAACUGAUGUUAAUAAAACACUGUGUAAUAUUUCAAGCACAGCUUCAUGCUCAUUUACUGCUAUUUAGAAAACCCAACAGCGUGAGGUGAGAGUUAAAUAAAAGCACAUGUUCCAAAGUCACAGAAAUGACUAUCAGAGAUUGACUUCUGGUUGCUCAUUCAGCUGGCUGCUGUCAACGUGAAGAACGAAGCAAUUCCAUUUUUUAAUGCCAUGUAAAUUAUACCGCUGUGUUGUGAUACAUCAAUUAAGUUCUUUGAAUAAAUUAAUCAGAAAAUUCUGUAAGGAUGCUUCUCUGCUUUCUGAAGGGAAAAAACAAUAAACCCAAACACAGACCCGGG